GAUGAACGCUGGCGGAGUGCCUAAUACAUGCAAGUCGAGCGAACGGACGAGAAGCUUGCUUCUCUGAUGUUAGCGGCGGACGGGUGAGUAACACGUGGAUAACCUACCUAUAAGACUGGGAUAACUUCGGGAAACCGUAGCUAAUACCGGAUAAUAUUUUGAACCGCAUGGUUCAAAAGUGAAAGACGGUCUUGCUGUCACUUAUAGAUGGAUCCGCGCUGCAUUAGCUAGUUGGUAAGGUAACGGCUUACCAAGGCAACGAUGCAUAGCCGACCUGAGAGGGUGAUCGGCCACACUGGAACUGAGACACGGUCCAGACUCCUACGGGAGGCAGCAGUAGGGAAUCUUCCGCAAUGGGCGAAAGCCUGACGGAGCAACGCCGCGUGAGUGAUGAAGGUCUUCGGAUCGUAAAACUCUGUUAUUAGGGAAGAACAUAUGUGUAAGUAACUGUGCACAUCUUGACGGUACCUAAUCAGAAAGCCACGGCUAACUACGUG
rnacentral:rRNA from 1 species